GUUCAAUAAAUGUUGGCUAAUAUUAAUAUUAGAAUCCAGCCCCCUCAACACUCACUUGAGUGUUCUUUCCGCUGCACUAUGCUGCCUCCUUACGUACUCUCAAACAUGUUAAAGAUGCUAUGUGGAAUUGCGAAGGUCCUGGAAACUACUUCCCAGGCAGGAUUGUAGCUGAAUUCCUCCAAUGGGCUCUGUGGGCCCGAAGGGAAGAACGUCUUGGGGGAGGAUACCUUCCCUCUUGGCCAGUACCCCACUCCUACUGAAAAAUCAUGGAAUUGUGAGAAAAAGAAGGUAGACUUUGGAAAUGGAGAUUUCCAAUCUCCAGCUCUAAUUUCUCCCCUAAGCUCUUCGAUUUUUCCUCCCCAUUUCAGGUUUAAACUUUGUAAAUGUUCCACGUACACUUGAAAAGAAUGUGUAUCUGGCCGGGCGCGGUGGCUCACGCCUGUAAUCCCAGCACUUUGGGAGGCCGAGGCGGGCGGAUCACGAGGUCAGGAGAUCGAGACCAAGGUGAAACCCCGUCUCUACUAAAAAUACAAAAAAAAAGUUAGCCGGGCGUAGUGGCGGGCGCCUGUAGUCCCAGCUAUUCGGGAGGCUGAGGCAGGAGAAUGGCGUGAACCCGGGAGGCGGAGCUUGCAGUGAGCCAAGAUCGCACCACUGCACUCCAGCCUC
rnacentral:lncRNA from 1 species